UACAGAGGGUGCAAGCGUUAAUCGGAAUUACUGGGCGUAAAGCGUGCGUAGACGGUUACGUAAGUCGGGUGUGAAAGCCCCGGGCUCAACCUGGGAAUUGCAUUCGAGACUGUGUAGCUAGGGUGCGGAAGAGGGAAGCGGAAUUUCCGGUGUAGCGGUGAAAUGCGUAGAUAUCAGGAGGAACACCGGUGGCGAAGGCGGGUCUCUGGGCCGAUACUGACGCUGAGGAGCGAAAGCGUGGGGAGCGAACAGG
rnacentral:rRNA from 1 species